rnacentral:tRNA from 1 species
GGUGCUAUAGUGUAGUGGUCAUCACUCGGGAUUUUGAUUGAUCGGCCUGGAUUUCCCGAAACCCAGGUUCGAACCCUGGUAGCACCU